rnacentral:rRNA from 1 species
CGAACGGGUGAGUAACACGUGAGUAACCUGCCCCUGACUCUGGGAUAAGCGUUGGAAACGACGUCUAAUACUGGAUAUGACCGCCGAUCGCAUGGUCUGGUGGUGGAAAGAUUUUUUGGUUGGGGAUGGACUCGCGGCCUAUCAGCUUGUUGGUGAGGUAAUGGCUCACCAAGGCGACGACGGGUAGCCGGCCUGAGAGGGUGACCGGCCACACUGGGACUGAGACACGGCCCAGACUCCUACGGGAGGCAGCAGUGGGGAAUAUUGCACAAUGGGCGAAAGCCUGAUGCAGCAACGCCGCGUGAGGGAUGACGGCCUUCGGGUUGUAAACCUCUUUUAGUAGGGAAGAAGCGUAAGUGACGGUACCUGCAGAAAAAGCACCGGCUAACUACGUGCCAGCAGCCGCGGUAAUACGUAGGGUGCAAGCGUUGUCCGGAAUUAUUGGGCGUAAAGAGCUCGUAGGCGGUUUGUCGCGUCUGCUGUGAAAUCCCGAGGCUCAACCUCGGGCUUGCAGUGGGUACGGGCAGACUAGAGUGCGGUAGGGGGAGAUUGGAAUUCCUGGUGUAGCGGUGGAAUGCGCAGAUAUCAGGAGGAACACCGAUGGCGAAGGCAGAUCUCUGGGCCGUAACUGACGCUGAGGAGCGAAAGCGUGGGGAGCGAACAGGAUUAGAUACCCUGGUAGUCCACGCCGUAAACGUUGGGCGCUAGAUGUAGGGACCUUUCCACGGUUUCUGUGUCGUAGCUAACGCAUUAAGCGCCCCGCCUGGGGAGUACGGCCGCAAGGCUAAAACUCAAAGGAAUUGACGGGGGCCCGCACAAGCGGCGGAGCAUGCGGAUUAAUUCGAUGCAACGCGAAGAACCUUACCAAGGCUUGACAUACACCGGAAACGGCCAGAGAUGGUUGCCCCCUUGUGGUCGGUGUACAGGUGGUGCAUGGUUGUCGUCAGCUCGUGUCGUGAGAUGUUGGGUUAAGUCCCGCAACGAGCGCAACCCUCGUUCUAUGUUGCCAGCGCGUUAUGGCGGGGACUCAUAGGAGACUGCCGGGGUCAACUCGGAGGAAGGUGGGGAUGACGUCAAAUCAUCAUGCCCCUUAUGUCUUGGGCUUCACGCAUGCUACAAUGGCCGGUACAAAGGGCUGCGAUACCGUAAGGUGGAGCGAAUCCCAAAAAGCCGGUCUCAGUUCGGAUUGAGGUCUGCAACUCGACCUCAUGAAGUCGGAGUCGCUAGUAAUCGCAGAUCAGCAACGCUGCGGUGAAUACGUUCCCGGGCCUUGUACACACCGCCCGUCAAGUCAUGAAAGUCGGUAACACCCGAAGCCGGUGGCCUAACCCUUGUGGAAGGAGCCGUCGAAGGUGGGAUCGGUGAUUAGGACUAAGUCGUAAC